UACGGAGGGUGCAAGCGUUGUUCGGAUUUACUGGGCGUAAAGCGCGCGCAGGUGGGUGUGCAAGUCGGAAGUGAAAUCUUGAGGCUCAACCUCGAGGCUGCACCCGAAACUGCACGCCUAGGGACUGGUAGAGGCUGGUAGAAUUCCCGGUGUAGCGGUGGAAUGCGUAGAGAUCGGGAAGAAUACCAGUGGCGAAGGCGGCCAGCUGGGCCAGGUCCGACACUGAGGCGCGAAAGCGUGGGGAGCAAACAGG
rnacentral:rRNA from 1 species